GUGAAUCAUCAAAUCUUUGAACGCAAAUUGCACUCUUUUCGGAGAGUAUGCCUGUUUGAGGGUCAGAAUAAAAAAAAUUGACAUCGUUGCUGUUACGCGGUAACAUUCGUCGGUUAUUGGUUCAUAUUAUACAUUUGGGUUUAAGCGGUUUAAAAUUUUCUUUACGAUUCUAUGAACGUUUCUAAGAUUUUAUUUUCUUAUACGUUUAAGGUAUUGAUCUUUAUUAGUUGUGGUUGCUGUAUUGGAUUUCGUCCAAA
rnacentral:misc_RNA from 1 species